rnacentral:rRNA from 2 species
AUGGUUAAGUUAGAAAGGGCGCACGGUGAAUGCCUUGGCACUAGGAGCCGAUGAAGGACGGGACUAACACCGAUAUGCUUCGGGGAGCUGUAAGUGAGCUUUGAUCCGGAGAUUUCCGAAUGGGGAAACCCACUGUUCGUAAUGGAACAGUAUCUUUAUCUGAAUACAUAGGAUAUUGAAGGCAGACCCGGGGAACUGAAACAUCUAAGUACCCGGAGGAAGAGAAAGCAAAUGCGAUUUCCUGAGUAGCGGCGAGCGAAACGGAAUUAGCCCAAACCAAGAGGCUUGCCUCUUGGGGUUGUAGGACACUCUAUACGGAGUUACAAAGGAACGAAGUAAAUGAAGCGACCUGGAAAGGUCCGUCGAAGAAGGUAACAACCCUGUAGUUGAAACUUCGUUCCCUCUUGAGUGGAUCCUGAGUACGGCGGAACACGUGAAAUUCCGUCGGAAGCUGGGAGGACCAUCUCCCAAGGCUAAAUACUACCUAGUGACCGAUAGUGAACCAGUACCGUGAGGGAAAGGUGAAAAGCACCCCGGAAGGGGAGUGAAAGAGAUCCUGAAACCGUGUGCCUACAAGUAGUCAGAGCCCGUUAACGGGUGAUGGCGUGCCUUUUGUAGAAUGAACCGGCGAGUUACGAUCCCAUGCAAGGUUAAGCUGAUAAGGCGGAGCCGUAGCGAAAGCGAGUCUGAAUAGGGCGUUUAGUAUGUGGUUGUAGACCCGAAACCAGGUGAUCUACCCAUGUCCAGGGUGAAGUUCAGGUAACACUGAAUGGAGGCCCGAACCCACGCACGUUGAAAAGUGCGGGGAUGAGGUGUGGGUAGCGGAGAAAUUCCAAUCGAACCUGGAGAUAGCUGGUUCUCUCCGAAAUAGCUUUAGGGCUAGCCUCAUGUUGUGAGAGUCUUGGAGGUAGAGCACUGAUUGGACUAGGGGCCCCCAACGGGUUACCGAAUUCAGUCAAACUCCGAAUGCCAAAGACUUAUCCAUGGGAGUCAGACUGCGAGUGAUAAGAUCCGUAGUCAAAAGGGAAACAGCCCAGACCACCAGCUAAGGUCCCCAAGUAUACGUUAAGUGGAAAAGGAUGUGGAGUUGCUUAGACAACCAGGAUGUUGGCUUAGAAGCAGCCACCAUUUAAAGAGUGCGUAAUAGCUCACUGGUCGAGUGACUCUGCGCCGAAAAUGUACCGGGGCUAAACGUAUCACCGAAGCUGUGGAUUGACAUCUUUGAUGUCAGUGGUAGGAGAGCGUUCUAAGUGCAGCGAAGUCAGACCGUAAGGACUGGUGGAGCGCUUAGAAGUGAGAAUGCCGGUAUGAGUAGCGAAAGACAAGUGAGAAUCUUGUCCACCGAAUGCCUAAGGUUUCCUGAGGAAGGCUCGUCCGCUCAGGGUUAGUCGGGACCUAAGCCGAGGCUGAAAAGCGUAGGCGAUGGCCAACAGGUUGAUAUUCCUGUACCACCUCCCCGCCGUUUGAGUAAUGGGGGGACGCAGUAGGAUAGGGUAAGCGCGCUGCUGGAUAUGCGCGUUCAAGCAGUUAGGCUGAUGAGUAGGCAAAUCCGCUCAUCAUAAAGGCUGAGCUGUGAUGACGAGGGAAUUAUAGUACCGAAGUUCCUGAUUCCACACUGCCAAGAAAAGCCUCUAGCGAGGCGGGAGGUGCCCGUACCGCAAACCGACACAGGUAGGCGAGGAGAGAAUCCUAAGGUGAUCGAGAGAACUCUCGUUAAGGAACUCGGCAAAAUGACCCCGUAACUUCGGGAGAAGGGGUGCUCUGGUAGGGUGUAUAGCCCGAGAGAGCCGCAGUGAAUAGGCCCAGGCGACUGUUUAGCAAAAACACAGGUCUCUGCGAAGCCGCAAGGCGAAGUAUAGGGGCUACGCCUGCCCGGUGCUGGAAGGUUAAGAGGAGGGGUUAUCCUUUGGAGAAGCUCUGAAUCGAAGCCCCAGUAAACGGCGGCCGUAACUAUAACGGUCCUAAGGUAGCGAAAUUCCUUGUCGGGUAAGUUCCGACCCGCACGAAAGGCGUAACGAUCUGGGCACUGUCUCAACGAGAGACUCGGUGAAAUUAUAGUACCUGUGAAGAUGCAGGUUACCCGCGACAGGACGGAAAGACCCCGUGGAGCUUUACUGUAGCCUGAUAUUGAAUUUUGGUACAGCUUACACAGGAUAGGUAGGAGCCUGAGAAGCCGGAGCGCUAGCUUCGGUGGAGGCGUCGGUGGGAUACUACCCUGGUAUUGAAAUUCUAACCCGCGGCCCUGAUCGGGCCGGGAGACAGUGUCAGGUGGGCAGUUUGACUGGGGCGGUCGCCUCCUAAAAUGUAACGGAGGCGCCCAAAGGUUCCCUCAGAAUGGUUGGAAAUCAUUCGUAGAGUGUAAAGGCACAAGGGAGCUUGACUGCGAGACCUACAAGUCGAGCAGGGACGAAAGUCGGGCUUAGUGAUCCGGUGGUUCCGCAUGGAAGGGCCAUCGCUCAACGGAUAAAAGCUACCCCGGGGAUAACAGGCUUAUCUCCCCCAAGAGUCCACAUCGACGGGGAGGUUUGGCACCUCGAUGUCGGCUCAUCGCAUCCUGGGGCUGUAGUCGGUCCCAAGGGUUGGGCUGUUCGCCCAUUAAAGCGGUACGCGAGCUGGGUUCAGAACGUCGUGAGACAGUUCGGUCCCUAUCCGUCGUGGGCGUAGGAAAUUUGAGAGGAGCUGUCCUUAGUACGAGAGGACCGGGAUGGACACACGCUGGUGUGUACCAGUUGUCUUGCCAAAGGCAUCGCUGGGUAGCUAUGUGUGGACGGGAUAAGUGCUGAAAGCAUCUAAGCAUGAAGCCCCCUCAAGAUGAGAUUUCCCAUAGCGCAAGCUAGUAAGAUCCCUGAAAGAUGAUCAGGUUGAUAGGUCAGAGGUGGAAGCGUGGCGACAUGUGUAGCUGACUGAUACUAAUCGAUCGAGGACUUAACCAAAC